rnacentral:lncRNA from 15 species
AUGUUGAAUAAGUCCAGAGGGGGGGCUGGAGGGAUUUUAGCUGCCCUGGACAAAAAGAGUCCGGCCCUGGCCCCCCCUCUCUCACACCAGCUCCCCAUCCCCACCUUCCUUACCCAGCUCCCUAUAGUGAUGGAUGAUGAUAUGUGUCACAUUAAGUCUACCUGCAUCCACAGGGGGUCAGCUAGCAGCAUGCUGGCUUGCUUUUGGCUGAACAGGAGGUCUGAGCUGAGGGGUGAAGGAGAGGGGGAUUUGAAGCUGCCAGGCUGGAAAAGGGGUACACCUCCGGUGAGGGUCCAGGCAGCACGUUGAACCAAGCUGGCUUAGAUAAGCCUGAUAUUAGUUCAAAAAUUACGAAUGGCUCAUAAUUCAUGACAAUGAGGUCUCCGUAAGGCAAUGCACCUCCAAUGCACACAUGAGGGGAAGUCUCUCCCUUUUACAAGACCUUGGAAAUAGCUAAUGUAAAUGAAAAUAGCAGGCUGACAAGGCCUGGUGUUUAAUUCAAGUUAAAAUUAAUCUCUGAACAGUCGGCGCUCCAGACCUCCCUUUGGCCAAAGUCUCACACAGUCAUCACUUAGUCCAGACCUUUCAGACUAACUUUUUUUCUCCAUCAGCAACACAAAUCACCAUCUGUGUGUGUCUGAGGGGGAAACAGCUUAGCUCUGCAUUCUGCCAGAGCGAACAGUGCCAUAUGAACGGAUGACAGAAUGUUUCUAACAUACCACCAAAAAUACUCUCCACCUAAAAAAAAAAUAAAUCAACAGCUCUGAAAUGUUCACAAAUACAGUGUAAAAAAAAAUUGAAAUUUGAAAUCCAGAGUUGCACACCCCCGAUUCAAUAGACAUCAGUCUAUCCCAACGUGGGAGCUACAGUAUGAACAAACGGCUAAAAAUGAGGAGGGCAAUAAAAACGGUGUGAGAAGAUGACAUUCGAAUGGAUGGAAUGCAGGCGAUUUUCUCUAAAUGUACACAUCCCACACAAUCUAACGUCAAAGUGCAUUCAAUGUCAAUUCUAACAGGGCCACAUGACUAAAAGUUGGGGAAAAUAGGCCCCCCCCUUUGCUACACUUCAAAUUUUGGUGAUGCAGGAGAUGAGAAAGUGGAAGGGAAAAGGGGGCAAAAAAAUCAACAACACGGGAACUUGAUUGUGAAUUUCAACAACAUUCAUAAACUAAGGGG